rnacentral:lncRNA from 1 species
GGUCUCCAAAUUGAAUGAAAUCAGAUUCAUUAGAAAGCUAAGACAAAAUGAUACAAAUGUUCAGAAGGGACCACAGCCCAGAUCAAAGAGUAAGAUAGCAAACAAAAGCUCAGAACACAGACCAACAGAUCAGACCUGAUUCAGCAGAACCAAGUCCAAUGUUUCUUGAAUUCCUACUUCACCAAACACUCAAAUGAAACCAAUCCAGAACGAGAGAAUUAUCAAGACACAGGGAAACAACUUUUAUGAAG